GGUACUUGAAGAGAGGUCUUCCAUGGUGCAUUCGCUUUAUUUUUUUUGACGAAUCAUACAUGGUUGACCUUUUUUUAGGUAUC
rnacentral:pre_miRNA from 1 species